rnacentral:rRNA from 1 species
UGGGGAAUAUUGCACAAUGGGCGAAAGCCUGAUGCAGCAACGCCGCGUGAGUGAUGAAGGCCUUCGGGUUGUAAAGCUCUGUCUUCUGGGACGAUAAUGACGGUACCAGAGGAGGAAGCCACGGCUAACUACGUGCCAGCAGCCGCGGUAAUACGUAGGUGGCAAGCGUUGUCCGGAUUCACUGGGCGUAAAGGAUGCGUAGGCGGAUACUUAAGUCAGAUGUGAAAAUCCCGGGCUUAACUUGGGAACUGCAUUUGAAACUGGGUAUCUAGAGUGCGGGAGAGGAAAGUGGAAUUCCUAGUGUAGCGGUGAAAUGCGUAGAGAUUAGGAAGAACACCAGUGGCGAAGGCGACUUUCUGGACCGUAACUGACGCUGAGGCAUGAAAGCGUGGGGAGCAAACA